GUCUGAUGGCUUAAUCCUUUAAGUACUACAUGGAGUGUCCUACAUUUCAAAUAUGUCAUUAUCCAAAGGCUCUGUGAAGCGUGAAUGAAUAGUUAUCCUUAUUUACAAGAAGCCCUGUAGAACAGAUGUGUAUAUAUUAACAUAUGCACAUUACUUGCAGGUGACUGACACUACAUAAUACUUAUUCCUAGUGAUGUCCCGAACGGUUCGCCGCGGACUCAUAAUUGAGUAAACUUUGACCCUGUAUCUCACAGUCAGCAGACACA